CUGUGGGCUGUUUGGUUUCAUACUUCCCUGUCGGUCCUCUUCUGUGAAUGUGAGUUAACAAGCGGACUCCAGGCCCAGCUGGAGGCCCUGCAGCCGUCCUUCCCCAUCCAGGCCUGAACGUGCGCUGACUCCUGGGCUGGGCUCCCUCGUGCUGUGGAGGCUGGCCGGACAGUGGAGAGUACCUAAAAUAUGGCUCUUACACCAACUCCUCUUUACCAGGGAGUCAUGCUGCUGGUAGGAAGUGGUGUCUCUCUUUCUGAUGUAGAACUCUCCAGAAACCCUUGGACAGGUGGAUCCAGGCAUUCCUGGGGCUGGCUGUAAUAUCAGCAGACACUAGAAGCUUCCCCAACCAACUUGUUGGAUCAACUCCAUGGACAGACCUGGCGUUCCCCAUUCCCUCCGUAAGACAAACACAACAGUGGCCUCGGCUCCCAGAGCUGGAGGUGAUGCCUGGCCCCUUCUCUUCCCAACCAUUGAGUUGUUUGCUUAUUCUCUUGGCUAAUACCUUUUAUAACACUUGUAUCAGUAUAAUUGCAUGAUUUAGUUUUGUAUUCAGUAAAUGGAUGAAGAAAGAGGAUUUCUUCUCUAAAACUAAGUUGAGUGUUUGAGAAAGUUACAUGAAAGUGACUUGCUAAAGCAAUCAUUGUCAUCAAAUCGGGUGAGAAGUAAACAACAAGAAAUGGUCAAGUAGAAAAUUGUGGGAAAUCCACAAGGAGUCUGCAUGCUGGUUGUUUUGCAAGUGUUUUCCAUUUUUGUUCAAGUUUAAAGAAAACAGAAGUAGAGAUGAAACAUUGCUGAAGUCAGUUUGGCGAGAGAAAGGAUAACUCAUGGAUUUCCAUUUCUUUGGGGUGAGUUAUUGUGAAAUUAUUAUGUUCCUUUGGUGUCAUGUUUCCUUGCUUUCUCAUGUUUCUAGUCACUCUGCACUGAUGCCUGCACAUUUGAGGGACCAGUCACCUCUUCCAGCCUUUUGCAACCGGCAUCAGUGAGAAAAAAACUUUCACCUGAAGGUGGUUGCAAGGGUUCCAGGUGGGUGAGAUAUGGUAUCUCUGGUGCCAAGGACAGCACAGUGACACGGCCUCUAGUUUCUGUAAAGCUGUGUCAGCUGAGGUCAAUCUUGGUGAAUACUCAAGGGGUCUCUGGUGACCAAGAGUGCAGAGGUCCUACGGGUGGCAGUGAUGGCUGGGGCUCUUGGGAUCCUCAGUGACAAAGGCUGCUGAGGUCCUUCUGUUCUCCUUUUUGUUCACUGGGGAAGCUGCAGCCAAUGACCUCCCUCAUGGUACCAGGUCUGGCACGCUAACAGAGUGGCCGCGGUGCUGGGGUCCCACAGCACGGGUGCACUUGCUGCAGAGGUGACACCAGUGUCUGAAGUGCAGUCAUCACAGGGACUCAGGCUCGUAGGGGGAAGCUGGGGUAUGGGGGGGGCACAUCUGUGGUGUAGGCCCAGGGAGGACAGGGUGCAGCACUAACCCAGGCCUACGGUGCAGGGUGCAGCAGCAGCAGACCCUGGGGUUGGUGAGUCGGAGUCCCGUCUCUGGCCCCAGGGGGCAGAUUGCUGAGCGAGAGCAUCUUGGCCCUGGUGACAGAGUCUUGUCUGUAAUUCGAGACCCAGGUGACAGAGCACAAAGUAGCAGUGGCAGCAGCUCAGCCCGUGACGACGAGUCAAACCCUGACUCAGAGCCCGGAGCACAGCGGCUGAACGGAGUCCUGGUGAGAGUCCACUAGAGCCACAUGUCGAGACCCAAGCUUCCGGUUGGGAAGGCUGAGAAAGGCAGGGCUAGACCGGCCUGACCAGGGCACUACAAAGAAGCCAGGAGAGAAGCAAGGUGCGAGUCUGUCAAGCCGGGAGUUAAAGUGGGAUCCUCUCCUGAGACAAUAGAAGAUGCUGCCAUCAGAAGAAAUAAGGGGGAAAAAAUGCCAGACCACCAGAGUCCAAAAUGGCUAGGCUAUCCCUUGGCAUCCAUAAAUCCAUCAAUCUCCGUGGCUUGACACAAGAGAAGGUUUGAUUCUCAUUCACACAAAGUCCGUUGGGAAGACGAGUCUACAGGGCAUCUCUCCUCCAUCAGGCACAUUCUAUGGCCUUUCCAGGGUCAGAAAAAUGCAUGGCCUGUCUAAAGUCAUCAGCCAGGUCACUGUGUCAGAAACAGGAUGAGAAUCAGUAUGUGGCUGCUUGUGCUUUUCCUAUGCACACACGAGGUCAAGAGAUCUUUCCAUUAGACAAUGGGCCCCUUGCAGUGUGUGCAACUGGGAUCGCUGCUUCUCACUUUCUUCCACUAUCCAGUAGACGAGCUCUGUGGAAUACCGAACACCUGAAUGAGAAGUAAAAAUGUCAUGAAUAACUGCAUCACGUCUCAGAUGUGAAUUGGGGCUAAAUUACUUGACUCUUAUGAACACAUGCUCAUGUGAAGAAAAUGUUUAUUUCUCUCUUUAUUUCAGGACUUCUACCCCAAACACAAACGUACUAUGUUGAAAGAUUCAUUUGUUAAGCUUCUACGCAUAAAACACCAGAGAUUUCCAGAAAGUAGAUCCUUUGGGAUAAUCCUUAUGAGCUCCCUUGGGGCUCCUGGGUACAUAUGACCAGAGGAGUUAAUGAUGCAGCAAAUGGAGACUCCUACAGCAUCCUAGGGAAUUCAAGCAGCUGUGACUAAUAGAGUUAUACACAAGAGACACCAAAGUGUUUCCAUAUCGUAUUUAGAGGAAAUCUUCAAUUUGCUAGAAUAUUUAGAAAUGGAAUUUUCUCAUUGAUUUUGUUCCUGUUUAAGUGCCAACUAGAAACACCCGAUUUUUUGUUUUACCUUUGUCUUUGAAAGUCUUCCUAAAAUAAAAAUAUUUCAAAGGA